rnacentral:rRNA from 1 species
UUUUUCGGAAGGUUAAAAAUCGUAACAAGGUCUCCGUAGGUGAACCUGCGGAGGGAUCAUUACACAAAUAUGAAGGCGGGCUGGAACCUCUCGGGGUUACAGCCUUGCUGAAUUAUUCACCCUUGUCUUUUGCGUACUUCUUGUUUCCUUGGUGGGUUCGCCCACCACUAGGACAAACAUAAACCUUUUGUAAUUGCAAUCAGCGUCAGUAACAAAUUAAUAAUUACAACUUUCAACAACGGAUCUCUUGGUUCUGGCAUCGAUGAAGAACGCAGCGAAAUGCGAUAAGUAGUGUGAAUUGCAGAAUUCAGUGAAUCAUCGAAUCUUUGAACGCACAUUGCGCCCUUUGGUAUUCCAAAGGGCAUGCCUGUUCGAGCGUCAUUUGUACCCUCAAGCUUUGCUUGGUGUUGGGCGUCUUGUCUCUAGCUUUGCUGGAGACUCGCCUUAAAGUAAUUGGCAGCCGGCCUACUGGUUUCGGAGCGCAGCACAAGUCGCACUCUCUAUCAGCAAAGGUCUAGCAUCCAUUAAGCCUUUUUUUCAACUUUGACCUCGGAUCAGUAGCUGCCCGC